rnacentral:rRNA from 1 species
UACGGGGGGAGCAAGCGUUGUUCGGAUUUACUGGGCGUAAAGGGCGCGUAGGCGGCGUGACAAGUCACUUGUGAAAUCUCCGGGCUUAACUCGGAACGGUCAAGUGAUACUGUCGUGCUAGAGUACAGAAGGGGCAACUGGAAUUCUCGGUGUAGCGGUGAAAUGCGUAGAUAUCGAGAGGAACACCUGCGGCGAAGGCGGCUUGCUGGGGUGGAAUUGACGCUCAGACACGAAAGCAUGGGGAGCGAACGGG